GGGGAUUUUGCUCAGUGGUAGAGCACUUGCCUAGCAAGCGCAAGGUCCUGGGUUCAGUCCCCA
rnacentral:tRNA from 1 species